rnacentral:rRNA from 1 species
AUGAACGCUGGCGGCGUGCCUAAUACAUGCACGUCGAGCGAACAGACGAGGAGCUUGCUCCUCUGACGUUAGCGGCGGACGGGUGAGUAACACGUGGAUAACCUACCUAUAAGUCUGGGAUAACUUCGGGAAACCGGCGCUAAUACCGGAUAAUAUAUUGAACCGCAUGGUUCAAUAGUGAAAGACGGUUUUGCUGUCACUUAUAGAUGGAUCCGCGCCGCAUUAGCUAGUUGGUAAGGUAACGGCUUACCAAGGCAACGAUGCGUAGCCGACCUGUGAGGGUGAUCGGCCACACUGGAACUGAGACACGGUCCAGACUCCUACGGGAGGCAGCAGUAGGGAAUCUUCCGCAAUGGGCGAAAGCCUGACGGAGCAACGCCGCGUGAGUGAUGAAGGUCUUCGGAUCGUAAAACUCUGUUAUUAGGGAAAAACAAAUGUGUAAGUAACUAUGCACGUCUUGACGGUACCUAAUCAGAAAGCCACGGCUAACUACGUG